UACGUAGGGUGCGAGCGUUGUCCGGAAUUAUUGGGCGUAAAGAGCUUGUAGGCGGUUUGUCGCGUCUGCUGUGAAAAUCCGGGGCUCAACCCCGGACUUGCAGUGGGUACGGGCAGACUAGAGUGUGGUAGGGGAGACUAGAAUUCCUGGUGUAGCGGUGAAAUGCGCAGAUAUCAGGAGGAACACCGAUGGCGAAGGCAGGUCUCUGGGCCACUACUGACGCUGAGAAGCGAAAGCAUGGGGAGCGAACAGGAUUAGAUA
rnacentral:rRNA from 1 species